CACAGGUGUGUUCGAUCGACAUGAGGAGCAGGGAGAAAGGGGUGAAACCCUAACUCAACAAAACCUUCAAAUUGGAGGAUCAAACGAAGGCCAAAUUCGGAUUGGAAUAUACAUAAACGAUCACCAAGUCAAGGGGAUCGAAAGUUGACUCUAAACAAGCUAGGUGGGAGCUUGGAAAGGAACGGGUCAAACGGAUCAUGGAUGCAAAGAAUGUUUGCGCGGACGCGAGGUAAAUACCAAGUGUUCCCGGAUGAAGAUCAAGCUCAAGGAAGAACCGAACACGAUCAAAGAUACAAGCUUCCGCAUAUCAUUUCGUCGAUAUUUUAAU